UUUCUUCUUUGUCACUGUAGGCUUUAGAAACUAUGAUGUUCUUAAAGGAGUACCUAGAGAAUUCACCUAGCUGCAUAUCCCUCCAACCCCAGCACAGCGCUCCUCUCAGCAUUUCACCACACGCACGAAACAUUACAGAAGCCGUGCGUGGUGGUACACGCCUGCCGUCCCCGCACUUGGGAGGCAGAGGCAGGUAAGAAUUGGCCCACAGUAACAGCUAGAAUUUCCACCAUGAAGCCUGAUUCCCAGAUUCUUCAGAUUAUUCUGGCAUAAUGUGCGGGCUUGGGUUUCAUCUGAUGAAAACACUUCAAGAAACCUCUCCAGACUUUCAUAAAUGGUUGGGUGGUGUGUGUGUGUGUGUGGGGGGGGGUUAACAAUAUUUUUUGAAUGCCUGCUGAAUGUUGGACAUUAUACUGCUUGGCACUAGGAUGAAAAGAUGAAUGUCACGGUUUCUGCCUCGAAGAGCUUGCAAUCCAGGUGUGGAGGCAGAUGAUGAGACAGUUACAUGAGAUGUCCUGUGUGCUGUGAAAGGAUAAAAGGACAUUCAGCUUAAUCUGACAUCCCACAAGGGUUUUCUAGAAUAAUACUGGGAACAUACUGUGCUAUGUGCCAGGCACUGCUAUAACAUGAAUACAAAUUUGUUCGCACAUAUACAGGCAUACAUGCACACAGGCUUGGUGCCAAGCACCUUUACUUGCUUCUCACUGGCCCAAGAGUGUGUACUUCUGAGAGACACUUAUUGAGAGAGUAAGGGUUGGCUUGUUCACCACAUGCAUAAAACAUGGUUGUGUCCAUAUGGAAGACACAUGAAAAAGGUAAUGAAAAGUUGCUUCCUUUUGUUAUCUGAGGGGUGCUUAUGCCAAGGAAUAACAUGGUGAGAAUCUUAUACUUCAGCUUGCAGUUGGGGAACCCGAAUUGUGUUUUGUUAAACUAUUCAAUAGGACGAACAUCCAAAUAGGUAUUUUGGAUAGGCAUUUGGCUAUAUGCAAACAGAGCUUACUAUCUGGGGUAAGAGCAGAAGACAAGACAGAAGUGGGGAGUUAAUGAAUUACAGGAGUUGAUGAGAUGGUCCUAAAGAGAUUAAUGAUGGCCCUGGGGACAAGUGGGCCUAAACAGAAAAGGAAGUGGCAAGAAAGCCAAAAUGUGGGUGUCAAGUAUGAAAACUCUAGCAGCAAAUAGUGUGUCACAAUUUAUGAGACUAGAGUUUUGCAAAGAAAAAUUGAGAAUGGUGUAGCUGGUGAGCAGACCAGCAAAGAUGCUUGGUUCUUAUCCUGGAAGCCUGUGGAUGUUGCCUUGUAUAGUAAGGAUGUGUAGAUGAGGAGGCUGCCCUUGAUGAUCCAGGUGGUCCUAAGAGCCAUCAUGAAUGUCUGUAGAGAAGCAGAGGAAGGUUGAUAAAAGGGAGCAGGCAGUACGCCUGAAGAGGCAAAGGGUCUGACACCAGAAUGACAGCAACAUAAACUGUAAGAAGUGGGAUCAGGGUCUUCACUGGGAGUUGCAGAGGAGCACAGCUCUGUGGACACCUCAAUCUCAGUCCACUAAAACAGAUUCUGGACUUCAGGGGUCUCUAACAGUGAGAAAAUCCAUUUUUGGUGAUUUAGGCCAACGGGUCUGUGGUAAUUUUUUGCAGCACUGUUAGAAAACCAACACCAUCAACACAGUAGGGAAAGCUUUAAAAUAACUGAAAUUGGAGCUGGAGAGAUGGCCCAGUUCCAGGUAUUUGAUACUCUCUUCUGGACUUUGUA